ensembl:lncRNA
GUCCAGUUUCUUUGAAUAUUUUGAGGAAAAACUGCACAACUUGCUGAGAUAUGACAAGUUUUCAGCUAAUAGCUCUUUGGGAAUCCCCAUGUCGGUGCAAAAGAUUGAUGUUUCUGAAAAAGGUCGAAAUCUGCUGGCUUAUAAGCCUUAUAAGACCUUAACUCUGGUCAGCAAGUCUCUUGAUCACACAUGAAUCACUAGUAAUGCAUUCAUUGUUCCCUGUGGCUGUGUGGUGCAAGAGCUGAGUGAAACAACACACAAGUAUGUACUGACAGAAUAACCACAGACACACAUGCUCACAGGGAGGUCUUUGUUUUGUUUUCAGCGGAACUCUGAUAAUAUAAGCAGCAGUUAGAAACUCGAGCCAGACAGGGAGGAUUGGAUAAAAGAUUUUUUAAGUCAACCUUCGUUCAUCAGCUCUGUGCGGACUUUCCACUUCUCCGCUAUGAAAACCAGGACAUCUAAAAAAAAAAAAAUGAAUCCAACAGAAAAAUGCCAAAAACUGCUGUUCCUAAAGUGGCCACUUGAGGCUGGUUAAAAAAGGGAGUCAAUCCUCGGUUUAAAAUGUGUGCUUUUGGUGCAGACAUAAUCAUGCUUACUAUAGCUAAUUUUCCUCUUUGUAAUUAUUGUUUGGCUAUCAUUUAGUCUGUACUGAGGCUUUAGUUAUGCAGUUUAUGAGACAGGCUUGAUUUGAGAGAAAGCUAAAUACUCUGUAGGAGCCAUUCUUGGGUUAAUACCUUAUGUGGUCACUAGAGGUCACCUUUUUCUGUUUUGAUUAUGUAAUGUAAAGGUAUUUAAGGUAGACGCACGUAAUCGGCGUCAGGUGACCGUUGCGCUGUUAUGCUAAGUCGAUACAGAAUAAAGACCAAAAAAAAGGACAAGAUACAUACUGCUGGAUUUAUUGGACUGUUAACUUAAUUCAUGCAUACCAGUGACAUCGCGUCACCCCCCGUUAACGACCACCUCAGUGGCUUCAAGCGUAGGCUUAGCCUCUACAACUCAGUUUCUCCUCUACACCUCACCCCACCUCCCUUACCCCUGUUUAAUAAACAGUAAAAAAAAAAAAAGAAAUAGCACUAAUGCUUUAUCAAUUCAGCAGCUGCCGAAGUGUUUGUUGGAAAAGAAAACCCCUUUGGGCCAUGAUACUGUAAGAUAUCCUUACAAAUCACUGAAUAUGCACACAUGAAAGCACAAAAUGAUGUAAAAAUUAAAAAACACUAUAUGAGGUAUGUCAGUUAUCGCUGUACAAAACACUCAAUUAUGGUUGUGCCACAGCAGGAAAACAAAUACGCU